AUAUCUCUCCGUACGGGAAGGAUGAGAAGCUUCGACUAAGGUUCGAUUCGAGCGAAAGCGAGAAAGCGUUGCCGCAGGCAACGACCCGAAGGGCGAAGCGCGCAGCGCUGAGUAAUCCUUCCCCUACCACCA
rnacentral:sRNA from 5 species